UAGAGUUUGAUCCUGGCUCAGAACGAACGCUGGAGGCGUGGCUAAGACAUGCAAGUCGAACGGUACGUUUGAUUUCGAUUGGACGUAUAGUGGCGAACGGGUGAGGAAUAAAUAGGUAACGUACCCCGGGCACAGGGAUACCAUCGGGAGCUUGCUCCCUUUGCGAAAGUGAUGUUAAUACCUGACGACGUCUUUGGAUGGCAUCAUCUGAAGAUCAAAGGGUGGGGACCUUCGGGCCUGCCGGCCUGGGAGCGGCCUAUUUCCUAUCAGCUUGUUGGUGAGGUAACGGCUCACCAAGGCGGCGACGGGUAGCCGGACUGAGAGGUUGAACGGCCACAUCGGGACUGAGACACUGCCCGGACACCUACGGGUGGCUGCAGUAACGAAUAUUCCGCAAUGGGCGAAAGCCUGACGGAGCGACGCCUCGUGGAGGACGAAUUCCUUCGGGAUGUAAACUCCUGUAAGAUUUGAGAAAGCAAGGGUGGGUAAUAUCCAUCUGCGUUGAUCUGGAUCCUAGAAGCAUCGGCUAACUCCGUGCCAGCAGCCGCGGUAAUACGGAGGAUGCGAGCGUUGUUCGGAAUCACUGGGCUUAAAGCGCGUGUAGGCGGCCUAGCCAGUACCUUGUGAAAUCCCUUGGCUCAACCGAGGAAUUGCUGGGUAUACUGCUGGGCUUGAGGCGGUUAGGGGUGCCUGGAACUCUAGGUGGAGCGGUGAAAUGCGUAGAUAUCUAGAGGAACGCCUGUGGCGAAAGCGGAGCACUGGGCCCGUCCUGACGCUGAGACGCGAAAGCGUAGGUAGCGAACGGGAUUAGAUACCCCGGUAGUCUACGCCGUAAACGAUGCGCACUAGGUUUGUUAGCCUCUGACGGUUUGCGAGCCGAAACAAAAGCGAUAAGUGCGCCGCCUGGGGAGUACGGCCGCAAGGCUAAAACUCAAAGGAAUUGACGGGGGCUCACACAAGCGGUGGAGGAUGUGGCUUAAUUCGAAGCAACGCGCAGAACCUUACCUGGGUUUGACAUGCAUGGAUUAGCUCUCGGGAAAGCGGGGUGACGCGGCUUGCCGUGGAACGUGCACAGGUGCUGCAUGGCUGUCGUCAGCUCGUGUCGUGAGAUGUCGGGUUAAGUCCCUUAACGAGCGAAACCCUUGUCGUUAGUUGCCAGCACGUAAUGGUGGGCACUUUAGCGAGACUGCCGGUGUUAAACCGGAGGAAGGUGGGGAUGACGUCAAGUCCUCAUGGCCUUUAUGCCCGGGGUUGCACACGUCCUACAAUGGGAAGGUACAGAGCGACGCAAGACCGCGAGGUGGAGCAAAUCGCAGAAAACUUCCCUCAGUUCGGAUUGCAGUCUGCAACUCGACUGCAUGAAGCUGGAAUCGCUAGUAAUCGCGUAUCAGCUAUGACGCGGUGAAUAUGUUCCUGAGCCUUGUACACACCGCCCGUCAAGUCAUGGAAGCCGGUAGCACCCGAAGUCCGUCAGUUAAUCCGCAAGGGAGGCGGCGGCCGACGGUGAGACUGGUGACUAGGACUAAGUCGUAACAAGGUAACC
rnacentral:rRNA from 1 species